GACGAACGCUGGCGGCGUGCCUAAUACAUGCAAGUAGAACGCUGAAGAGAGGAGCUUGCUCUUCUUGGAUGAGUUGCGAACGGGUGAGUAACGCGUAGGUAACCUGCCUUGUAGCGGGGGAUAACUAUUGGAAACGAUAGCUAAUACCGCAUAACAAUAGGUGACACAUGUCAUUUAUUUGAAAGGGGCAAUUGCUCCACUACAAGAUGGACCUGCGUUGUAUUAGCUAGUAGGUGAGGUAACGGCUCACCUAGGCGACGAUACAUAGCCGACCUGAGAGGGGGACCGGCAACCCGGGAACUGGACAAGGCCCCGAACCCUACGGGAGGGAGCAGUAGGGGAUCUUCGGCAAUUGGGGCAACCCUGACCGAGCAACGCCGCGUGAGUGAAGAAGGUUUUCGGAUCGUAAAGCUCUGUUGUAAGUCAAGAACGAGUGUGAGAGUGGAAAGUUCACACUGUGACGGUAGCUUACCAGAAAGAGACGGCUAACUACGUG
rnacentral:rRNA from 1 species